CCCCUUAAUUGUGGGUAAUUGGCCAUUAUUGUUUUCCCCUAGAGAAUCCUGGGUAACGAUUGCAGAGGACUCUGGGAAAUUGACUUAUGUUCUCACCGCCCAUUCUCCUCCCCACCCCUUGCCCACUCCUAACUCUGGGAAACUAGCAUCUUAGAUCCCUGUGCCUAACUUCAGCCCCUGCAUUUCCUGCUCCCUUCACCUGAUGGUUCAGAGCUGAACCAGGCCAGGAUAUCCACCGGUGCUGUUCUGCUGAAGGUUGGGUCAGGAGUCUAAAGGGAUCGUGGCAAGGGAGGCUGUGUCACAGGUGUGAUCAGCUGCCAUCGCCAUCAUGAACUUUGAGGGUCUGGAUCCUGGACUGGCAGAGUACAGCCCGGCCAUGCAUUCUGCUCUGGACACUGUCCUGGACGCCCAUCUGAAUCCAAGCCUGCUACAGAAUGUGGAGCUGGACCCCGAGGGAGUGACCUUGGAGGCUCUUCCCGUCCAGGAAUCAGUGCACAUAAUGGAAGGUGUUUACUCUGAAUUGCACAGCGUGGUGGCUGAAGUGGGCGUCCCAGUCUCCGUCUCCCACUUUGACUUGCACGAGGAGAUGCUGUGGGUGGGGAGCCACGGGGGCCAUGCCACCUCAUUUUUUGGUCCAGCCUUGGAGCGCUACUCAUCCUUCCAGGUCAAUGGCAGUGAUGACAUUCGGCAGAUUCAGAGUCUGGAGAAUGGCAUCCUUUUUCUCACCAAGAACAACCUCAAGUAUAUGGCCCGUGGAGGCCUGAUUAUAUUUGAUUACCUGCUGGAUGAGAGUGAGGAUAUGCACAGUCUUCUCCUGACUGAUAGCAGCACGCUACUCGUUGGCGGACUGCAGAGCCACAUAUUGGAGGUCGAUCUUAACACUGUCCAGGAGACUCAGAAGUAUGCAGUUGAGACACCUGGAGUCACCAUCAUGAGACAGACAAAUCGCUUCUUCUUCUGUGGCCACACAUCUGGCAAGGUUUCCCUGCGAGACCUCCGUACUUUUAAGGUGGAGCAUGAGUUUGACGCCUACUCAGGGAGUCUGUCAGAUUUCGACGUGCAUGGCAACCUGCUGGCCACCUGUGGCUUCUCUAGCCGCCUCACUGGCCUGGCCUGCGACCGUUUCCUCAAGGUGUAUGAUUUGCGCAUGAUGCGUGCUAUCACUCCGCUUCAAGUUCACGUGGAUCCUGCCUUCUUGCGCUUCAUUCCUACAUAUACUUCUCGUCUUGCCAUCAUCUCUCAGUCAGGGCAGUGCCAGUUCUGUGAGCCCACAGGCCUGGCCAACCCAGCAGAUAUCUUUCAUGUGAACCCUGUGGGGCCUCUGCUAAUGACAUUUGAUGUAUCAGCCAGCAAGCAGGCCCUGGCCUUUGGGGAUUCUGAGGGCUGCGUGCACCUCUGGACUGAUUCCCCUGAGCCUUCCUUCAACCCCUAUUCCCGUGAGACUGAGUUUGCUUUGCCUUGUCUUGUGGACUCACUGCCUCCUCUGGACUGGAGCCAGGACCUGCUGCCUCUGUCCCUCAUCCCUGUCCCGCUCACCACUGACACGCUCCUCUCUGAUUGGCCUGCUGCCAACUCCGCUCCAGCUCCCAGGCGAGCACCCCCUGUGGAUGCAGAGAUUCUGCGCACUAUGAAGAAGGUGGGCUUCAUUGGCUACGCACCCAACCCCCGCACCAGGCUGCGCAAUCAGAUUCCUUACCGACUCAAGGAGUCAGACAGUGAAUUUGACAGCUUCAGCCAGGUCACUGAGUCACCGGUAGGGCGGGAAGAGGAGCCACAUCUCCACAUGGUUUCUAAGAAAUACCGCAAGGUGACCAUCAAAUAUUCCAAACUAGGGCUAGAGGACUUUGACUUCAAACAUUACAAUAAGACCCUGUUUGCCGGAUUAGAGCCCCACAUCCCCAAUGCCUACUGUAACUGCAUGAUCCAGGUGCUCUAUUUCCUGGAGCCUGUUCGGUGUUUAAUCCAGAACCACCUUUGCCAGAAGGAAUUCUGCCUGGCAUGUGAGCUGGGCUUCCUCUUCCACAUGUUGGACCUCUCUCGUGGUGACCCUUGCCAGGGCAAUAAUUUUCUUCGGGCAUUCCGUACCAUCCCCGAGGCCUCAGCUCUUGGUCUGAUCCUGGCUGACUCAGAUGAGGCUUCAGGCAAGGGCAAUCUGGCCAGGCUCAUUCAGAGGUGGAAUCGCUUCAUUCUCACCCAGCUGCAUCAGGAUAUGCAGGAACUGGAAGUGCCACAGGCUUAUCGAGGUGCUGGAGGCAGCUUUUGUUCAUCAGGGGACUCUGUCAUCGGGCAGCUGUUCAGCUGUGAGAUGGAGAACUGCAGCCUAUGCCGCUGUGGCAGUGAGACUGUGCGUGCCUCAUCCACCCUGCUCUUCACGCUCUCCUACCCUGAUGAUAAAACUGGGAAGAACUAUGACUUUGCUCAGGUGCUGAAGCGAAGCAUCUGCCUGGAGCAGAAUACACAAGCCUGGUGUGACAACUGUGAAAAGUACCAGCCCACGAUUCAGACUCGCAACAUCCGCCAUCUGCCGGAUAUUCUUGUCAUCAAUUGUGAGGUGAAUAGCUCAAAAGAGGCUGAUUUCUGGAGGAUGCAAGCUGAGGUUGCCUUCAAGAUGACAGUAAAGAAGCAUGGUGGGGAAAUUGCCAAGAGCAAGGAAUUUGCUUUGGCUGAUUGGAAGGAGCUAGGGAGUCCAGAGGGUUUGCUGCUGUGUCCUUCCGUUGAGGAGUUGAAGAACGUCUGGCUUCCGUUUUCCAUUCGCAUGAAGAUGACCAAGAACAAAGGAUUGGAUGUUUGCAAUUGGACUGAUGGGGAUGAGUUGCAGUGGGGCCCAGCCAGGGCAGAGGAGGAGCAUGGUGUCUAUGUGUAUGACCUGAUGGCUACUGUGGUACACAUCCUGGACUCACGCACAGGGGGCAGCCUGGUGGCUCACAUCAAAGUUGGAGAGACCUACCACCAGCGCAAGGAGGGUGUUACUCACCAGCAGUGGUAUCUAUUUAACGACUUUCUUAUUGAACCUAUUGAUAAGCAUGAAGCGGUGCAGUUUGACAUGAAUUGGAAAGUACCUGCUAUCCUUUACUAUGUCAAAAGGAAUCUCAAUUCCAGAUACAACCUGAACAUCAAGAACCCUAUUGAGGCAAGUGUCCUGCUGGCUGAAGCGUCACUGGCACGGAAGCAGCGGAAAACACAUACUACCUUUAUUCCACUGAUGCUGAAUGAGAUGCCACAGGUUGGGGACCUAGUGGGUCUGGAUGCUGAGUUUGUCACCCUUAAUGAGGAAGAAGCAGAGUUACGCAGUGAUGGUACCAAGUCCACUAUUAAACCAAGCCAGAUGUCAGUAGCAAGGAUUACCUGUGUUAGGGGCCAGGGACCCAAUGAGGGUAUCCCCUUCAUUGAUGACUACAUCUCCACCCAAGAGCAGGUGGUGGAUUACUUGACUCAGUACUCUGGGAUAAAGCCUGGAGACCUGGAUGCCAAAAUUUCCUCUAAGCACCUCACAACUCUCAAGUCUACUUACUUAAAACUUCGUUUUCUCAUUGACAUUGGAGUCAAGUUUGUGGGUCAUGGCCUGCAGAAGGACUUCCGGGUCAUCAACCUCAUGGUUUGGACAGGGCUCAUUGAAGAGUUUUCUUUUGAGGGUGGGAUGCUCAGGGUAUACAUCGUGCUUUUGGAGAAUGAUAACUUAUAGAUCCUUUACCUUCAGUCUGCCACUCUUUUAUCCUUGCCAGGUGCCCAAGGACCAAGUCCUUGACACUGUCUACCUGUUCCACAUGCCCCGAAAACGAAUGAUUUCCCUGCGAUUCCUUGCUUGGUACUUCCUAGACCUGAAGAUUCAAGGGGAGACCCAUGACAGUAUUGAGGAUGCUCGCACAGCCCUUCAGCUCUACCGAAAGUAUCUGGAGCUAAGCAAGAAUGGCACUGAGCCUGAGUCUUUCCACAAGGUGCUCAAGGGUCUUUACGAGAAGGGCCGAAAGAUGGACUGGAAGGUGCCUGAGCCUGAGGGCCAGACAAGUCCCAAGAAUGCAGCUGUCUUCUCCUCAGUGCUGGCGCUCUGACCUCCCCUCUCCCAAAGAACCACCGCCCUCUCCCUUAGUGUUCUGUGGCCCCAGAACUGGGAGGUGGCGUCCCAAGUUAGCUAUUCCCUGUCCACUUCCAGAAUUGGACCUGCUCAGGGUCUACAGAUGGUGCUAUUUAUAACCGGAAUGCAACAGCAUUGUUACAAAGGUUCUAGAAGCCAGAUUCCUUCUUCAUCCUUUGCAAAAUAGUGAGUCACAAACAGAAUCUCAAAUUGACCCAGAUGGAAAGGAAUUGGUAUUCAUAAUAAAUAUCCUGGGUGAUUAAUAUCCAAGCAUAGAAGCUCCUGGAACCAAAACUCUUAGUUCCUAGCUGACUGGGGAUUGCAGUCCUGGUCAGUGACAGAGGAUACAAUGGUAGCUCAAGACUUAGCUCAAACUACCAACUGCUUGAGGGAUGCCUGGAGGGUCCAGUACUUAGGGUCGUGGUGGCCCACACAAACCAAUGUUGCCAAUCCCGUUGCCAAAAGGGCCUUUGGAUCCUGGACAAAGCUUAGCUGCUGGCUUCCUUUAUUCCUGCUGACAGCUGAGAAGCAUCUGUCUUCCAUCCACUCUCCUGUCCCAUGUUUUGUUUUUUAAAAUUUUGUUUUAAACCGCAUGUUUUAUAAAAUAAAA